UGGGGAAUAUUGCACAAUGGGCGCAAGCCUGAUGCAGCCAUGCCGCGUGUAUGAAGAAGGCCUUCGGGUUGUAAAGUACUUUCAGCGGGGAGGAAGGGAGUAAAGUUAAUACCUUUGCUCAUUGACGUUACCCGCAGAAGAAGCACCGGCUAACUCCGUGCCAGCAGCCGCGGUAAUACGGAGGGUGCAAGCGUUAAUCGGAAUUACUGGGCGUAAAGCGCACGCAGGCGGUUUGUUAAGUCAGAUGUGAAAUCCCCGGGCUCAACCUGGGAACUGCAUCUGAUACUGGCAAGCUUGAGUCUCGUAGAGGGGGGUAGAAUUCCAGGUGUAGCGGUGAAAUGCGCAGAGAUCUGGAGGAAUACCGGUGGCGAAGGCGGCCCCCUGGACGAAGACUGACGCUCAGGUGCGAAAGCGUGGGGAGCAAACA
rnacentral:rRNA from 2 species